AAGUCCGACGAUACAGGGUGAUAGUCCCGUAGUUGACGACGUGUGUUCAGUGAAAUCGAGUAGGGCGGGACACGUGAUAUCCUGUCUGAAUAUGGGGGGACCAUCCUCCAAGGCUAAAUACUACUGACUGACCGAUAGUGAACCAGUACCGUGAGGGAAAGGCGAAAAGAACCCCUGUGAGGGGAGUGAAAUAGAACCUGAAACCGUGUACGUACAAGCAGUAGGAGCAGGCUUUGUCCUGUGACUGCGUACCUUUUGUAUAAUGGGUCAGCGACUUAUAUUCAGUGGCAAGGUUAACCAUCUAGGGGAGCCGUAGGGAAACCGAGUCUUAACUGGGCGUUCAGUCUCUGGAUAUAGACCCGAAACCAGGUGAUCUAGCCAUGGGCAGGUUGAAGGUUGAGUAACAUCAACUGGAGGACCGAACCGACUAAUGUUGAAAAAUUAGCGGAUGACUUGUGGCUAGGGGUGAAAGGCCAAUCAAACCUGGAGAUAGCUGGUUCUCCCCGAAAGCUAUUUAGGUAGCGCCUCGGACGAAUACUACUGGGGGUAGAGCACUGUUAAGGCUAGGGGGUCAUCCCGACUUACCAACCCUUUGCAAACUCCGAAUACCAGUAAGUACUAUCCGGGAGACACACGGCGGGUGCUAACGUCCGUCGUGGAGAGGGAAACAACCCAGACCGCCAGCUAAGGUCCCAAAUUACUACUAAGUGGGAAACGAUGUGGGAAGGCUCAGACAGCCAGGAUGUUGGCUUAGAAGCAGCCAUCAUUUAAAGAAAGCGUAAUAGCUCACUGGUCGAGUCGGCCUGCGCGGAAGAUGUAACGGGGCUAAGUAGUAAACCGAAGCUGCGGCAAUGUGCUUUUGCACAUUGGGUAGGGGAGCGUUCUGUAAGCGGUUGAAGGUGUGUGGUAACGCAUGCUGGACGUAUCAGAAGUGCGAAUGCUGACAUGAGUAACGAUAAAGGGGGUGAAAAACCUCCUCGCCGGAAGACCAAGGGUUCCUGUCCAACGUUAAUCGGGGCAGGGUAAGUCGACCCCUAAGGCGAGGCCGAAAGGCGUAGUCGAUGGGAAACGGGUUAAUAUUCCCGUACUUCUUACAAUUGCGAUGGGGGGACGGAGAAGGCUAGGUGGGCCUGGCGACGGUUGUCCAGGUUCAAGUGCGUAGGCUUAAGAGUUAGGUAAAUCCGGCUCUUUUUAAGGCUGAGACACGACGUCGAGCAUCUACGGAUGUGAAGUCAUUGAUGCCAUGCUUCCAGGAAAAGCCUCUAAGCUUCAGAUUGUAAGGAAUCGUACCCCAAACCGACACAGGUGGUCGGGUAGAGAAUACCAAGGCGCUUGAGAGAACUCGGGUGAAGGAACUAGGCAAAAUGGUACCGUAACUUCGGGAGAAGGUACGCUCUUGAUGGUGAAGUCCCUCGCGGAUGGAGCUGA
rnacentral:rRNA from 1 species